rnacentral:rRNA from 1 species
AGUGAACGCUGGCGGUAGGCCUAACACAUGCAAGUCGAACGGCAGCACAGUAAGAGCUUGCUCUUACGGGUGGCGAGUGGCGGACGGGUGAGGAAUACAUCGGAAUCUACUUUUUCGUGGGGGAUAACGUAGGGAAACUUACGCUAAUACCGCAUACGACCUACGGGUGAAAGCAGGGGAUCUUCGGACCUUGCGCGAUUGAAUGAGCCGAUGUCGGAUUAGCUAGUUGGCGGGGUAAAGGCCCACGAAGGCGACGAUCCGUAGCUGGUCUGAGAGGAUGAUCAGCCACACUGGAACUGAGACACGGUCCAGACUCCUACGGGAGGCAGCAGUGGGGAAUAUUGGACAAUGGGCGCAAGCCUGAUCCAGCCAUACCGCGUGGGUGAAGAAGGCCUUCGGGUUGUAAAGCCCUUUUGUUGGGAAAGAAAAGCAGCAGGUUAAUACCCCGCUGUUCUGACGGUACCCAAAGAAUAAGCACCGGCUAACUUCGAG